GAUGAACGCUGGCGGCGUGCCUAACACAUGCAAGUCGAGCGGAAGGACGCUGCUUGCACGUUGCUCGAGUGGCGGACGGGUGAGUAACACCUAGGUGACUUGCCCUGCGCUUCGGGUUACGCCCGGGAAAGUGGGCUUAUACCCCAUACGUCGUGAUGUUGAAUGUGAUGGUUCGAAAGUCCUUUCGGUAUCGGAUGAGCCUAGGGCCUAUUAGCUAGUUGGUGGGGUAAUGGCCUACCAAGGCGGCGAUGCGUAGCCGGUCUGAGAGGGUGAACAGGCACACUGGAACUGGGACGCGGCACAGACUCCUAGGGGAGGCAGAGGUGGGGAAUAUUGGAAAAUGUGGGAAAGCCUGAACAAGGCAUGCCGGGUGGGUGAAGAAGGGCUGCGGAUUGUAAAACACUUUUAGGGGGGAAAAAGGGCAGUGAGAGGAAACAUGGCUGUUUUGACGGUACCUAGAUAAGAAGCACCGGCUAACUACGUG
rnacentral:rRNA from 1 species